UAAGUGCUGGUACUCCCCCUCCUCUGAACCGGUUUGUACAGCACAACAGUAACAUAUUUUGAACGGAAGCGGUGAGUAAAACCAAGGGCCACCACUGAACGUGGGGCCUCCCGAUUCUCGAUGUAAAGAUGGUUGAGAAUUACAUUCUGCGGAGCAGGAAUAGUUUCAGAACUGUCCACACUUGCUGGGUAGCUAAGCAAGGUGUGCUGCAGGUGCGGAGGGACUAGAGGUGGGUCCCGUGCCUCAUCUUCAUUCCCAGGGUAGGCAUUGUUGUAACUUGAAUCAGGAGAUUUUGGAACUUCAAAUCCCAUUACAGUUGUGUCUUCAUGAUCAUCAACAUAUUGGUUGCUCAUCUUGAAAAGAAAAGGAAACUGGCUAACAGCACAAAAUCAUCAAAG
rnacentral:misc_RNA from 1 species